rnacentral:rRNA from 1 species
GAUGAACGCUAGCGGGAGGCUUAACACAUGCAAGUCGAGGGGCAGCAUAGGGUAGCAAUACUCUGAUGGCGACCGGCAAACGGGUGAGUAACGCGUAUGCAACCUACCCUGUACAGGGGGAUAACCCGGAGAAAUUCGGACUAAUAUCCCGUAAUAAUAUCCGGAGGCAUCUUUGGAUAUUUAAAGUUCCGACGGUACGGGAUGGGCAUGCGUAACAUUAGCUGGUUGGUAAGGUAACGGCUUACCAAGGCUAUGAUGUUUAGGGGUCCUGAGAGGGUGGUCCCCCACACUGGUACUGAGACACGGACCAGACUCCUACGGGAGGCAGCAGUGAGGAAUAUUGGUCAAUGGGCGCAAGCCUGAACCAGCCAUCCCGCGUGCAGGAAGACGGCCCUAUGGGUUGUAAACUGCUUUUCCAGGGAGAGAAACUUACGCACGUGUUGCGUGACUGACGGUACCUGGGAAUAAGCAUCGGCUAACUCCGUGCCAGCAGCCGCGGUAAAACGUCUA